AGAGUUUGAUCAUGGCUCAGGAUGAACGCUGGCGGCAGGCUUAAUACAUGCAAGUCGAACGGUAACAGAGCUAGCAAUAGCUGCUGACGAGUGGCGGAUGGGUGCGUAACGCGUAUGCAACCUACCUGUAAUUGGAACAUAACGUUGAGAAAUUAGCGCUAAUAUUCCAUGUGGAUAUGAGACGGCAUCGUUUUAUAUUUAAAGAUUUAUUGAUUACAGAUGGGCAUGCGUAUCAUUAGCUAGUUGGUAAGGUAACGGCUCACCAAGGCAACGAUGAUUAGGGGUUCUGAGAGGUUUAUCCCCCACACUGGAACUGAGACACGGUCCAGACUCCUACGGGAGGCAGCAGUGAGGAAUAUUGGUCAAUGGAGGCAACUCUGAACCAGCCAAGUCGCGUGAAGGAUGAAGGUCUUAUGGAUUGUAAACUUCUUUUGCAGGGGAAUAAAUAGCGGUACGUGUACCGUUUUGCAUGUACCCUGCGAAUAAGGAUCGGCUAACUCCGUGCCAGCAGCCGCGGUAAUACGGAGGAUCCGAGCGUUAUCCGGAUUUAUUGGGUUUAAAGGGUGCGCAGGCGGGAGAUUAAGUCGGCGGUGAAAUUUUGCAGCUCAACUGUAAAAGUGCCUUCGAUACUGGCUUCCUUGAGUGUGGAUGAAGUAGGCGGAAUUUGUGGUGUAGCGGUGAAAUGCUUAGAUAUCACGAGGAACUCCGAUUGCGCAGGCAGCUUACUAAACCACUACUGACGCUCAGGCACGAAGGCGUGGGGAUCAAACAGGAUUAGAUACCCUGGUAGUCCACGCAGUAAACGAUGAUUACUGGCUGUUUGCGAUACAAUGUAAGCGGCUGAGCGAAAGCGUUAAGUAAUCCACCUGGGGAGUACGUUCGCAAGAAUGAAACUCAAAUGAAUUGACGG
rnacentral:rRNA from 1 species